rnacentral:rRNA from 1 species
GGAAAAGAAACUAACAAGGAUUCCCCUAGUAACGGCGAGUGAACCGGGAAGAGCUCAAAUUUGAAAUCUGGCGUCCUCAGGGCGUCCGAGUUGUAAUCUAUAGAGGCGUUUUCCGUGCCGGACCGUGUCCAAGUUCCUUGGAACAGGAUAUCAAAGAGGGUGACAAUCCCGUACUUGACACGACGACCGGUGCUCUGUGAUACGUCUUCUACGAGUCGAGUUGUUUGGGAAUGCAGCUCAAAAUGGGUGGUGAGUUCCAUCUAAAGCUAAAUAUUGGCGAGAGACCGAUAGCGAACAAGUACCGUGAGGGAAAGAUGAAAAGCACUUUGGAAAGAGAGUUAAACAGUACGUGAAAUUGUUGAAAGGGAAACGAUUGAAGUCAGUCGUGACCGAGAGGCUCAGCCGGUUCUGCCGGUGUAUUCCCCUCGGUCGGGUCAACAUCAGUUUUGUCCGGUGGAUAAGGACGGUAGGAAGGUGGCACCCUCGGGUGUGUUAUAGCCUGCCGUCGCAUACAUCGGGUGAGACUGAGGAACGCAGCUCGCCUUUAUGGCCGGGGUUCGCCCACGUCCGAGCUUAGGAUGUUGACAUAAUGGCUUUAAACGACCCGUC